UACGUAGGUGGCAAACGUUGUUCGGAAUUACUGGGCAUAAAGAGUUUGUAGGCGGCUUAAUAAGUCAGGUGUGAAAUCCCGGGGCGUCAACUUACGGUAACGGCAUUUGUAUACUGUUAGGUCUAGAAUAACGGAGAGGUGAGUAGAAUUCAUGGUGUAGCGGUGAAAUGCGUUGAUAUCAUGGAGAAUACCAAUGGCGAAGGCAGCUCGCUGGCCGAUUAUUGACGCUGAGAAACGAAAGCU
rnacentral:rRNA from 1 species